CAAUAGCGUAUAUUUAAGUUGCUGCAGUUAAAAAGCUCGUAGUUGGAUUUCGGGUGGGAAUGGCCGGUCCGCCGUUUCGGUGUGCACUUGCUACGCCCACCUUGCUGCCGGGGACGUGCUCUUGAGUUCACGCUCGGGACACGGAGUCGGCGAGGUUACUUUGAGUAAAUUAGAGUGUUCAAAGCAGGCCUACGCUCUGAAUACAUUAGCAUGGAAUAACACGAUAGGACUCUGGCCUAUCUUGUUGGUCUGUAGGACCGGAGUAAUGAUUAAGAGGGACAGUCGGGGGCAUUCGUAUUUCAUUGUCAGAGGUGAAAUUCUUGGAUUUAUGAAAGACGGACUACUGCGAAAGCAUCUGCCAUGGAUGUUUUCAUUGA
rnacentral:rRNA from 1 species